UUUUCUUUACCAAAUGGACCCAUUACUCUUGAAAAGGCUAAUAGUAAUAAUAGCCAAAUCCAAACACGUGCUACCAUGGGACCCUUUUAUUCGGACCUCUCUGCUAAAUGGAGUCAAAGCAACCCGUCAACCAAUGACUUGUGGGAAAAACAACGCAAUUUGGCAUCAGUGCUUGGGAUGGUUUCGGUGUCCUUCGGUAGCGUUAAUGUGUCUGCGUUGCAGGCUUCAGCUUUUCUGCCCAUCUCCUUUAUGUCUUGAAUAUUUUCACUCUUGAAUUCCUGUAGUGUGUCACAUUGUUCAACUGGUAGCAUAGCCUGAAUAAUCUUAUUCAGCUUUUGACGAAGCCAGCCAACUUCCAGUUCCACAGAUUCUAGAUCGCGUAUGCUACUUAACAUGGACUUGAGCUCAAGUAGUUGUAGAUUUUUUAUCUCUGUUGCUUGUAGUGUAUGGACGAUGCCACAAACAAUCUCCAAGAAGGAUGAACGGCAUUGAAGAGAGUGCAAAGAGCAAU
rnacentral:misc_RNA from 1 species